UGGGGGACACAGUAUGGCUUUGAGGGAACAUUUCUCCUCUUCCUCUGGAAGAAACCCAGUCUGAGACUCACUUGUGCUCACAGACUCAUUGUUAUCUGUCUCCUCUGUUGUUCGAGCCAUCUGGUAUGCCAAAUUAGGCUGCUCUGGCUGAUACCUCAAUACCAAUACGCAGGCUGCCACCAACGAGUAAGCCAGGAGGGUCCCAAUAGACAUGAG
rnacentral:lncRNA from 1 species